GAGCAGGCAGGGUCCUACUGGCAUCUAGUGGGUAGAGGCCAGCUUGCUAAACAUCCUAUAGUCACAGGUUGCCCCCCUAGUAGAGAAUUACGAGGCUCAAACGUCAAUAGCGCUGAGGUUGAGACACCCAGCUGUAAGAGAAUGAAGCCUUUGGGAGGUAAGAAGCUGAGAGUGGAAGGUGAUGUGACCAUGGUUGCAUUUUGAAAAUUUCCUCUGGCAGCAGUCUGGAAAGUGGAACGGUCUACUGCUACUAAUAGCAACAGCAGCAGCUGCUGCCUCUUUAUUGAGUACCUUCUGUGAUGCGCUAGACACUAUGCCAAGCCCUUUAUGAGCAUCCUCUCACUGUAUCCCACAGAAGCCCCAUUUUAUAGAUGAAUGUAGUGAGUGCCGGAGAGGGCAACUCAUUCACCUGAGAUCGCCCAGCUGGAAAGUGGAAGCCUAUGAUGGUUCUUUAGCCAGGCAGCUGCUUCCUCCUGGAAGAGCAGGGACAGGCUUCCAGCUGGUCCAGCUGCAGCUCAGAGACCCUCAUUCCAUCCUUCCUGUGGACUAAGGGGCUGAUUCCUGUUGAGCAUCAUGUCUCCCAGCCACAAACUGUUUGGACAGCGUACUUCUCUCCCACAAAUGACACGAGAAUGACAUGCCUAAUCACGCCUGCCGCAUGGAAUUAUUCUGGAGAGUAAACAGGGGGAGGACAAGCCCCAGCACCUGCCACAUGCUGGGAGGUCCCUGGAUGGCAGCCCUGCGGGAAGAGCUUCUCUGGGGGGAGGUCAGCCCCUGAGGACCAGGGAUCACCUCACAAGGACAGCCAGUCUGAGAGUAAAGCCAACAGAGAAGAAAGUAGAACCCAGAAAAGUCGCGACGUGUCCUGAAAAGGUCAUGUGAGUCUCUAGAUCCACCCGUGCCUGAAGCUUGUGCACCCUUGGACUUUUCACAUACACAAACCAAUAAAUUCCAGUUUUUGCUUAAGCUGCUUUCAACUGAGGUUUCUGACACUUGCAACCAAGGCGUUUCAACAGCUAAUCCUCAGAUAUCUGUUGCACGCCUGAUCAGGCUCAGUCCAUACCAGUCACUUGGGAUCCUUAAAGUGACGUAGGCUACAGGUCC
rnacentral:lncRNA from 1 species